CGUGCUGGGAUGCUCAAAUGCAAACAUGCUAUCACUCCGAUGUCUGCGACUGAUCGGUUGUCUGCCCUUGAUGGAGAUCUUCUUUCCACUGAUGACGCCACUGAGUAUCGCAGUCUUGUUGGUGGUCUGCAAUAUCUCACUAUCACCAGGCCUGAUGUCUCUUAUGCAGUCAACCGUGUGUGCCAGUACCUUCAUGCACCUCGUACCACUCAUCUCUCGGCAGUUAAGCGCAUUCUGCGGUAUGUCUCUUCCACUGCUUCGUAUGGUCUGCUCCUUCAGUCUGCACCGUCUUGUGAACUUUCGGCUUUCUCUGAUGUGGAUUGGGCUGGAAGUCCUGAUGAUCGGCGAUCCACGGGGGGAUAUGCAGUGUUCUUUGGUCCUAGCUUGAUCGCCUGGAAUGCUCGCAAGCAAGCCAUCGUGUCUCGUAGCAGUACUGAAGCUGAGUAUAAAGCAGUUGCUGAUGCUACCGCUGAGAUC
rnacentral:rRNA from 1 species